rnacentral:snRNA from 1 species
GUAUGUGCUUACCUUAGUUAUUACAUUUCUUAAUCUCCAUGUUAGCUUAUAAAAUGGGAAAUGCCAACCUUCAUAACUUAAAUCAAAUAAGAAAAAAAAUACCAGCAAAACUUUAACAACUCUCCAAAUGUAAACAUUAAAUUUCCUACUCAUAUUUACUGUGCCCAGUCUUUCAAUUUACAUGUAAUAUUAUAUGACUGGAAGUAAAAUGGUCUUUUAAAAAUCCCAAGGAGUAUUACUAUGGAGAUUACGAAGGAGAAAUAUAUGUAUAAACAUACAUACAUACACAUAUAUGUAUAUAUACAUCAUUACCAUGAUGUAUAGAGAAAUACUAUUCUCAAAGGAAGGCAUUUACAUUUUGAUUCUCUUCAGUUCAAUACUUUGUUAAAAGCAACCCACGAAAAAGAGAUCUAUAUGACUACUUCCCCUUCUUCCAAAUUCACUUACUCCAUAAGCCAAGUGUUUUUGUUUUUGUUGUUCUUAUUUUACUAUUUUGGCUUUUAUUUUUUUCAAUAAGAAAUGAAGACAAAAAAAAAAAAAGAAAUGAAGACAGACCAGAUUUGUUUUCCUAAAAAGCAAUUUUAAAGCAAAGAAUGUCCAUUAUAUUUCUGUAGUAAAAAUCGUCAGUCUGUUUACAAAGAGUUACUUCUUGGUUUCUAUUACAUGCAUAUUGGACCACUUAAUGUUACCUCACAUGUCAAAACAGAACUAACUUUGUUUUUUUGUUUCUUUCAAAAUAUAGAACACUGAACAAAUUUAUGUGUCAUCCUGUGCAGGGGCCAUGCUAAUCUCUGCAUUGUUUUAGUUUUAGUAUAUGUGUUGCUGAAGUAAGCACAAAAACAAAACUACUUAAAAAAAAAUAUUUCCCCUAUUAUUCAAAUUGGAUAUUAAUCUGUCUACAGUUUCACUGAUCAUUUUGUCAUCCUCUCUCAUCUUCUAUUAAGCCUAUUUAAUGAAUUUUUCAUUUCAAGCAUUGUAAUAGUCCCUUCUAGAAUUUCAACAUAAUUAUUUUUACAUUAACCAUAUCAAUGCUAGGAUUCUAAAUCUAUUCAAUUAUUUUAAUCUUGGUUUCACUUAUGUUAUUGAUUGUAUUUACAACAGGGAAUAUAAAAUUUUUAUCUGUUAAUUUCAAUAUUGGAAACAUCUGAGUCAUCUCUGGGCUUGUUUUUUUGUUUGUUUUGUGUGGUUAGGUUUUUUUUUUUUUUUUUUUUUUUUUUUAAUCUUGAACAAUGGCUGUCAUUUUCCUGUGUCUUUAUGUGUUAAAAAACUUUAUAUUUAUUUUGCUUAUCAGUGAAUAUACAUUAUAAAGACUCUGAAUUUUGUUAUCUGUCUUUUAACAGUGUUGAGUUUUGUUCCAGAAGUCAGAUAAAUUAAAAACUGAUCCUUUUUGUCUGGAGAUACAUCAGAUAAGUCUGUUUCAGUUUUGCUCUUUGUUCUCAAUGAGUCCCUUAAUUCUGGGACACAGUCUCUUCUAAGCAUGGACCUUUUGGAAUGCUUUUAAAUGAAACCUCAGAGUGUGCACUUUGCUUCCCUAACUUGUGCUAUUCAAACUCCAAACUCUUUCUCUUCUGCCCUGGUGGCCAGCAGAAAUAUCAGCUUUUUAAACCUUCUACCGCUUGCUUUCCUUUGGAAUACUGUGAAUCUUUCCAAACCAAGCACUAUUCAUGGGGCAUUCAUAGUUUUGAGGGGUGUUUAUAUCCAGAUGUAAGGCACAAUCCUCUGUAGCUCUUUGUAUUCCAGGACUUUCUUAGUUUAUAUCUGCUUUGGGACCUCUGAAUUUUGUUAUUUGAUAUAUCAUAUCAAUAAGCUAAUCUUCUGUAUUUUGAGGUGCCGUGUACUUUAUAGACUACAAGGGAAAAGGUGAUAAAAAGCUGGAUUAAUCAGUGAAUUACCAUCACUCAAAAAUUAAAUCCUCCCUAGUUUUUCCCUUAUUUUUAGGUCUCUCCCAAUUGUUUUAAAUAUUUCUCUUAACAUAUUUUAACCUAUAAUUAAUAAUUAAAUGUUAUAUCCUUUAGGAGAUAACUAGAACUGGAUCAUCCUCUUUUUUUUUUUUUUAACAUAGCUUUCUUCAAAGUUCAUGGAGCAAAUAAAUAUAGAAAAUCAAUAAGAAUAUAGAAAAUAUGAAGGACGAAAUUAGCAAGACUGACAGAGAAAUAGCAUUCAACCAACAUUUAAAGAGUACACAAGGAAAAAAAAAA